rnacentral:rRNA from 1 species
GAGGGGGGCUACCUGCAGUCGACGGUGAACCAGCUUGCUUGGUGGAUCAGUGGCGAACGGGUGAGUAACACGUGAGCAACCUGCCCUGGACUCUGGGAUAAGCGCUGGAAACGGCGUCUAAUACUGGAUAUGAGACGUGAUCGCAUGGUCGUGUUUGGAAAGAUUUUUCGGUCUGGGAUGGGCUCGCGGCCUAUCAGCUUGUUGGUGAGGUAAUGGCUCUGCAACGCGUCCACGGGUAGCCGGCCUGAGAGGGUGACCGGCCACACUGGGACUGAGACACGGCCCAGACUCCUACGGGAGGCAGCAGUGGGGAAUAUUGCACAAUGUUCGGAAGCCUGAUGCAGCGACGCCGCGUGAGGGAUGACGGCCUUCGGGUUGUAAACCUCUUUUACCGUGGAAAAAGCAAAAGUGAGGGACCUUGUGAAAAACUCUCCCGAUACAUCCUUGUCAUUA